GAUUGUUCUGAUGUUAAUAUAAAUAACCAUCAAUUACUCACCGACUUGGAUCCUGAUCCACACCCCAAGCAUCCUUUUUGCCUAGUACCAGAUUUGGUCUGGGAGGAGAAAGCUUCAGCAUGAAUCCAAUUUUGUCUCUUGGGUUCUGGGUGUUGCUCUCUUUUGCAACGGUGUGUGGUCUCAUGUGCUACAGAUGUGACAAUGAGCGGUCAAAUGGCACAUGCUUCCAGGCAAAACCUCCCUGCAUUGCAAGACCGGGAGAAUCCUGCUACCGUCAGGAGCUCUACACUGAAUAUGUUCGCCUCUAUAGUGUGGCAGGUUGUGUCAAGGAUUGCCAAGAAAUUUCAGGAGGGCAAAACGUCCAGCAUGUCUACAAAUGCUGCAGUAACGCAGAUCUCUGUAACUUCUCUUCUUCCUAAUCUGUAGUGGUGGAACAGAAGGGCUCAGCAUGUCUUUCGUCGGACCUGAAGCGAAAUGUGGGGAAACGCCAUUCACUCUGUACUGUCAUACCUUGUCCUGGUUCGUCUCUUCCUCCGUAUGGCUCACUGGCCUUUUAUCAUGAAUGCAGAAGAAAGCUCCCUCUAGAGCGGCAAUGAACUGGGGGUUGCUCUUGGGGGAGCAGGUUGGAUUUUGAAUUCCUGGGCAACUUCUCUGAAUUCUGGGACUGUCCCUUGAUUAAUUUGACCAUAUGAGUUGUAAUUAACCAAUUAGAUUUGCACAUGGGUAAUCAAUCAAAGCAAGUCAACUAUUAGUAGACAAUGCAUAGUAGACAGUGAGGUUAUUCUCACGAGCUCAGAAACCCGGGCAAGGGGAGCUAAGCAUGGUUUUCGGAGGUCGUGUGCUGCAAUGAAAUACCCCUCCCAUUAAAUGGGUGCUCCACUAACUCAAUUUCCCUGAUCAUAAGAUGCCACUGCAUGGGUCUGUGCCAUGGUGACUUGUGAGGAGACCCCUGACUGGGAGGCUACAGCAAGCCUCCCAGCAUUGGGGGUCUCCCCAGAAUGCCCCAUGCACUCGCGUGGGGCAUUCUGGGAAUUCUAGGGGCCAGGUGGCCCCCCAAUCCCCACUUCCCCUUUCGGCUCCAUGACAGAGCCAGUAAUCAUGUGGGCGGCCAGGGUGAGCUCCCUGCUUGUCUGCGGGGAGAGUCUGGUGAGGCUCUACACAUGGAUGUAGCACCUCAGAAGAUUCAUUCACACAACGCUCAUGAUCUGUGGUCAUGUGAACUCAGAAAGCAAGGUAAGAAGAGGAGAGAGAAAUCAUGUGAGAGAUGGAUGGGAUAGGGACAGCCAACCCACCUGCAGGUGGACGUGGGAAGCUUGGCGUCUUCUAAGCCUUCUGCAAUCACAGUUGCAACACUGCUUUCCUUAUUCACACUAGCAUUGCAACUGUGAUUGCAGAAUGCUUAGUAGGCAUGGAGCCCACCUCUGCAGCCAGGCUCAUGGGCUUUGGAGAGCCUCAGAACAGCAUGGAUGUGUCUUCCACCCAUCAAUGGUUCUCUGUGCAGUAUGUGAGUGGACAAUAACUGGGAAUCUUAACUUAAGUCAAAGAAUCAGUAUGAACUUGUGACCUAACUGAUUAAUUGGUUAAACAUUGAAGCCCCUACUUCAUUCCAGUGUGGACAGCAACCCUUAGAACUGAUAAUCUCCUUUGCUAGUUUUUUCAGCGUUCCCAGUAAUGGCUAUUGCUACAUUUCAGUGUGUUUAAAAAUAAAAGGUGUGGAUUAUUGUCAAUUGCACCCUAACACUAUCAUCCUACCAUUCAUCAAUAAAGCUUCAGUUCUGUUUAAGCAUAUAUCCCUCUCAGUACAGAAAUUGCUUGAAGCAGAGAUGCCCGUCUUUUGCUAGAUCAUGAGGUCAUUCGCACAAUCUGUUUUCUACCUGGGUUUGGGAGCUUUGUGUGCUCCCAAUUUUCAGUCAGGUGGAAGCAAGAAAGGAGGAAAACCUGAGUAGAUGUGCUUGUGUGCAAGCAAGGUAGGAGGAAAACCUGGCUUCCCCAGAAGCAUUUCUACCCAGGUUUUCCUCUUACUUUGCUUCCACACAACCAAAAAUUGGGAGCACAAACAACACCCAAACCCGGGUAGAACACAGUUUUUGAUUGUGUGAAUGGUCUCCAUGCCUUGUGUCUCUUUUCUAAAUGCAACAUUUGCUCUGGUGCUGGUGGUCCAGUCCUCUCUUACAGCAGCUUUCAUGAAAUAUAUUGUAUUUUUUAUUUUUUUUUAAACACACUUUUUUCAUGGAGUACCAUUUCCUCUGCCAGUCUCUAACUUUGGUCCUCUGUUGCCUUAUCAAAUAAACUUUGGAAUCCUAAAAUCUA